GGGUGAGGCUGCGCUUUUUGGCGUAUUCGAGCCUGCCUUCGACAAGGAGGGUUAAGUCGUAACAAGGUAUCUGUAGGGGAACCUGCAGAUGGAUCACCUCCUAAGAAA
rnacentral:rRNA from 1 species